UAGCAUAUCAAUAAGCGGAGGAAAAGAAACCAACCGGGAUUGCCUCAGUAACGGCGAGUGAAGCGGCAAGAGCUCAAAUUUGAAAUCUGGCCCCUCCGGGGUCCGAGUUGUAAUUUGCAGAGGAUGCUUCGGGUGCGGCCCCCGUCUAAGUGCCCUGGAACGGGCCGUCAUAGAGGGUGAGAAUCCCGUCUGGGACGGGGUGUCCGCGUCCGUGUGAAGCUCCUUCGACGAGUCGAGUUGUUUGGGAAUGCAGCUCUAAAUGGGUGGUAAAUUUCAUCUAAAGCUAAAUACUGGCCGGAGACCGAUAGCGCACAAGUAGAGUGAUCGAAAGAUGAAAAGCACUUUGAAAAGAGAGUUAAAAAGCACGUGAAAUUGUUGAAAGGGAAGCGCUUGCGACCAGACUCGCCCGCGGGGUUCAGCCGGCAUUCGUGCCGGUGUACUUCCCCGUGGGCGGGCCAGCGUCGGUUUGGGCGGCCGGUCAAAGGCCCCCGGAAUGUAGUGCCCUUCGGGGCACCUUAUAGCCGGGGGUGCAAUGCGGCCAGCCUGGACCGAGGAACGCGCUUCGGCACGGACGCUGGCAUAAUGGUCGUAAACGACCCGUCUUGAAACACGGACCAAGGAGUCUAACAUCUACGCGAGUGUUCGGGUGUCAAACCCGUGCGCGCAGUGAAAGCGAACGGAGGUGGGAGCCCCCUCGCGGGGCGCACCAUCGACCGAUCCUGAUGUCUUCGGAUGGAUUUGAGUAAGAGCGUAAAUGUGGGGACCCGAAAGAUGGUGAACUAUGCCUGAAUAGGGCGAAGCCAGAGGAAACUCUGGUGGAGGCUCGCAGCGGUUCUGACGUGCAAAUCGAUCUUCGAAUUUGGGUAUAGGGGCGAAAGACUAAUCGAACCAUCUGGUAGCUGGUUCCUGCCG
rnacentral:rRNA from 1 species